AUUGAACGCUGGCGGCAUGCUUUACACAUGCAAGUCGAACGGUAACAGGCCGCAAGGUGCUGACGAGUGGCGAACGGGUGAGUAAUGCAUCGGAACGUGCCCAGUCGUGGGGGAUAACGCAGCGAAAGCUGUGCUAAUACCGCAUACGAUCUAUGGAUGAAAGCGGGGGACCGUAAGGCCUCGCGCGAUUGGAGCGGCCGAUGUCAGAUUAGGUAGUUGGUAGGGUAAAGGCCUACCAAGCCGACGAUCUGUAGCUGGUCUGAGAGGACGACCAGCCACACUGGGACUGAGACACGGCCCAGACUCCUACGGGAGGCAGCAGUGGGGAAUUUUGGACAAUGGGCGCAAGCCUGAUCCAGCAAUGCCGCGUGCAGGAAGAAGGCCUUCGGGUUGUAAACUGCUUUUGUACGGAACGAAACGGUCUGGGUUAAUACCCUGGGCUAAUGACGGUACCGUAAGAAUAAGCACCGGCUAACUACGUGCCAGCAGCCGCGGUAAGAC
rnacentral:rRNA from 1 species